AGGGCCAAGUAAGUUGUUAAGUCGGUUAUCCAAAGAUUCAGGAGAACAUGCAUUCUGCGUUCACGGUUCGGUUACCAGUCCUCUAGGUAAUGAAGCAGAAGAUACUGAGAGGAAAGAGUCUGUUGAUUUAACAGAACAUUCAACUGAUGAAGACUCUGCCUGUUUAUCUGAUGACAAUUUAGAUCGUAUUGGAAGGAGACCUGAAGCUGGUAGAAAUAUUGAGAGCUGCACUUCUGCUGAAACUGGGGAGAGUCCAGACUUGGAUUCAGAGGCAAAUAGUGAGAGCUCUCUUGGUGAUGAGUCUAAUGAUGUAAAUCACGUAGCACCUAAAAAGCGAUGGCAGCGUUUUAACCAAAGCAGUGCUAGAUCUAAUAAGCACAUCAGUAGAUCUAGGGAACAAGGAAACUUGGAGAGUGCCUUUGGCCUGAAUUCUCGUGGCUUUUCACUGAAGGGAAAUGAGUGCUUGGGACGUAGGCAUUCCCCUCAUUCAAAGGUGCUUGAGGGAGACCUGACAGAUCAGGACUAUGAGAAUCAUUUAGACUUAGUUGAGAAACGUUUGAAUGUAUGUGGUAAGCCAAACAACAGUGUGAUGGACUCAGAAACAGAGCUUGGCAACUUUGCUCCCCAGUCUGAAUUCUCUGCACAAGGUAAGGGAGCUGGACUUGCGCCAGAGUGUGUAUUUGUAUACAUUUUAUACUUUUUCAUUUAAAGCAUAAGUUAUGGAACUUGGGGUGUUUGACAACAUGGAGAUGUAUACCUCUGAGCUGAAGAAACUGUGAUACCUUGGUCUGGGGUUCUCUGUAAGCACGGAGAGCAAAAGGCAGAGCAGUUAAGGGAUUUUGCUUAGCUUUUUGGUUAGAAAGUUUAAAUACAUUACAAAUUACUAGUUCCUCCACAGUGAAAGGUAAAAUAAGCAUCCUUCUGAGUUUGGGAUUUUUUUUAAACUUAUACCUUAAUGUGUUGCUUAGAGCCACGUGCUUGGUGUUAACUGGAUAGAUCAGCGCUAGAAAGCUGUGGGAAACAGCCUCAAUGGCUGCUUUUUUUUUUUUCCCUAGUGCUGUUUGACAUAGAGUCUGUCUUUGGUUUGCUCUGUAGGAUUUCAUUGAGACAAUGCAUUGGGGUGUUUUUGGCGUUUCAGUGUGGAAUUUUAUUAGCUGCUAAUAAAACGAAUUGGGGAACCCCACAGAUUUCCUAAUUUACAGCUCUGGUGUGGCUGCCUGAGGGAUGAAGGGGAGAAAAGAAGAGGGCAGAAGCUGCCAGGGAGGCUGGGCUGGAGGUGGGUCUGGAAGAUGGCAGGCAGAAGUAAGGCAGCAUCACUGGAAGGGAAGUGACCUAAGAAGAAGGAGGCUUCUGAAGACCACAAGCUCAGACAGCCCUGCCUCUCCCACAGAGAUGGGGACAUUUCGUU